AACGAACGCUGGCGGCAGGCCUAACACAUGCAAGUCGAGCGCCCUUUCGGGGGUGCGGCGGACGGGUGAGUAACGCGUGGGAAUAUGCCCUUCUCUACGGAAUAGCCUCGGGAAACUGAGAGUAAUACCGUAUACGCCCUUUGGGGGAAAGAUUUAUCGGGGAAGGAUUAGCCCGCGUUGGAUUAGGUAGUUGGUGGGGUAAUGGCCUACCAAGCCGACGAUCCAUAGCUGGUUUGAGAGGAUGAUCAGCCACACUGGGACUGAGACACGGCCCCGACUCCUACGGGAGGCAGCAGUGGGGAAUAUUAGACAAUGGGGGCAACCCUGAUCAAGCCAUGCCGCGUGAGUGAUGAAGGCCUUAGGGUUGUAAAGCUCUUUCAGCUGGGAAGAUAAUGACGGUACCAGCAGAAGAAGCCCCGGCUAACUCCGUG
rnacentral:rRNA from 1 species